CGAGCGUCCAUUUACUGGCUGCAUGUUUUUCAGAUGCCACUGCCAAGGGUUAAAAUGUUUACAUACCCCCUGAAUUUAAACGGCCGUUACAUGUCAAAUGCCAAUGGGAAAGACAGCUGGAGUAGCUAAACUGAGUGCUUUGAUCUUACUAUCUGUAGAAAGAGGUCAUUUCGUUUCCCCCAAGAACCACAGACGUUUAGAUGAUCCAUGUGCGGCUCAAGCAAGCUAAACAUACCCAACUCCUUCAACUGUUCCUUAUAAGGCUUGGUUUCCAGACCCCUAAUGGUCAGGGGUCCCUUUACCUUUACCUUUACCUGCAAGAGACUGUUUCUGAUUACAGCAGCUCAAGGAAGGAAAAA